CCUGUGAGUAAAGUGGCGUACGGGUGAGUAACACGUGGAUAAUCUACCUUCUAGUGGGGAAUACCCCUGGGAAACCGGGGACAAUACCGCAUAAGCUCGUGAGAGGAAAGCCGAAAGGCGCUGGAAGAGGAGUCCGCGGCUGAUUAGCUAGUUGGCGGGGUAAUGGCCCACCAAGGCGAAGAUCGGUAGCCGGCCUGAGAGGGCACACGGCCACACUGGCACUGAAACACGGGCCAG
rnacentral:rRNA from 1 species